rnacentral:sRNA from 1 species
AAGAACAAACUAUUUUU